AUUGAACGCUGGCGGCAGGCCUAACACAUGCAAGUCGAGCGGAGCGGCGGUCGGGUGAGUAAUGCCUAGGAAUCUGCCUGGUAGUGGGGGAUAACGUCCGGAAACGGGCGCUAAUACCGCAUACUAUCAGAUGAGCCUAGGUCGGAUUAGCUAGUUGGUGGGGUAAAGGCCUACCAAGGCGACGAUCCGUAACUGGUCUGAGAGGAUGAUCAGUCAAACUGGAACUGAGACCCGGUCCAGACUCCGACGGGAGGGAGGAAGGGGGAAUAUUGGACAAUGGGCGAAAGCCUGAUGCAGCGACGCCGCGUGAACGAAGAAGGCUUUCGAGUCGUAAAGUUCUUUUAUAUGGGAAGCGGUACCAUAAGAAAAAGCCCCGGCUAACUACGUGCCAGCCGCCGCGGUAAUUC
rnacentral:rRNA from 1 species